UGGUUCUGGCAUCGAUGAAGAACGCAGCGAAAUGCGAUAAGUAAUGCGAAUUGCAGAAUUCCAGUGAGUCAUCGAAUCUUUGAACGCACAUUGCGCCCUUUGGCAUUCCGAAGGGCAUGCCUGUUCGAGCGUCAUUAUCACCCCUCAAGCCCCCGGCUUGGUGUUGGACGUUUUGGCGGAGGCCCCUCACGGGGCGCCCGCCCGUCCCAAAGACAAUGACGGCGGCCUCGUUGGACCCCCGGUACACUGAGUUCUUCACGGGACACGUACUGGAGUAAGGGUUCGCGGGGCACGGUCUGCCUCCCCUCAGGGAGAAUUUAUUUACAAGGUUGACCUCGGAUCAGGUAGGGAUACCCGCUGA
rnacentral:misc_RNA from 1 species